UGGGUAACCUGCCUCAAAGAGGGGAAUAGCCUCCCGAAAGGGAGAUUAAUACCGCAUAAUAUGUUUAAGUCGCAUGACUUUAACAUCAAAGGAUUUUCUUUUAGAAAUUCCACUUUGAGAUGGACCCGCGGCGCAUUAGCUAGUUGGUGAGGUAACGGCUCACCAAGGCAACGAUGCGUAGCCGACCUGAGAGGGUGAUCGGCCACAUUGGAACUGAGACACGGCCCAGACUCCGUAGGAG
rnacentral:rRNA from 1 species